CUGGGGCAUCACAGGUGUGUGUGAAAGACAGACAGACAGAAAGACAGGGCUCGGAGAGCACUGACAAAGAGGGAAGAAAUAAUAAACAAAAUGCAAAGCUAGAAUAUCACAUUUUAAUGUGUGUGUGCCUGCAUGCCUGUGUGCGAGUGUUUGCGUACGUGUGUGUUCUGUGUGUCUGGAGGUGUUGUGUGUGAGAGAAUCCCUAAAGUCUUCCGGUAGAGGUGUGCUGUACUGUGUUUGGCCCUUAGUGUGAGUAAUGUGUACUGUGUUUGGCCCUUAGUGUGAGUAAUGUGUACUGUGUUUGGCCCUUAGUGUGAGUAAUGUGUGCUGUGUUUGGCCCUUAGUGUGAGUAAUAUGUACUGUGUUUGGCCCUUAGUGUGAGUAAUGUGUGCUGUGUUUGGCCCCUAGUGUGAGUAAUGUGUGCUGUGUUUGGCCCUUAGUGUGAGUAAUGUGUGCUGUGUUUGGCCCUUAGUGUGAGUAAUGUGUACUGUGUUUGGCCCCUAGUGUGAGUAAUGUGUGCUGUGUUUGGCCCCUAGUGUGAGUAAUGUGUGCUGUGUUUGGCCCCUAGUGUGAGUAAUGUGUGCUGUGUUUGGCCCCUAGUGUGAGUAAUGUGUACUGUGUUUGGCCCUUAGUGUGAGUAAUGUGUGCUGUGUUUGGCCCUUAGUGUGAGUAAUGUGUGCUGUGUUUGGCCCCUAGUGUGAGUAAUGUGUGCUGUGUUUGGCCCCUAGUGUGAGUAAUGUGUGCUGUGUUUGGCGUCCAUCCAGCACCUGAGCUGCCUGCCAGCCAGCUAGGAGGACCAGGUGCACCCCUGAGACGGGAACAGCUAGGAGGACCAGGUGCACCCCUGAGACGGGAACAGCUAGGAGGACCAGGUGCACCCCUGAGACGGGAACAGCUAGGAGGACCAGGUGCACCCCUGAGACGGGAACAGCUAGGAGGACCAGGUGCACCCCUGAGACGGGAACAGCUAGGAGGACCAGGUGCACCCCUGAGACGGGAACAGCUAGGAGGACCAGGUGCACCCCUGAGACGGGAACAGCUAGGAGGACCAGGUGCACCCCUGAGACGGGAACAGCUAGGAGGACCAGGUGCACCCCUGAGACGGGAACAGCUAGGAGGACCAGGUGCACCCCUGAGACGGGAACAGCGAGGAGGACCAGGUGCACCCCUGAGACGGGAACAGCUAGGAGGACCAGGUGCACCCCUGAGACGGGAACAGCUAGGAGGACCAGGAUGUCAUCAGGCCCUGUGGUGGAGAGUGAGGGUAGCAGAGAACAGGUCAAUCUGGCAGUAACUUCAGGGUACAGUGAAGGUCCCCCCCUCCCACCUGGCCGUGACUGUGUUGAGGGCCACUGGCCUCAGAGCUAAGUCCUUCCAAGGGGGCAGCAACCCUUACGCUAUCCUCCAGCUGGGGCAGAGGAGAAUCACCACCCCUGUCAUCCACGAUACCCUGACCCCCCACUGGAACUGUGAGCUCACCUUCCCCCUGCCCUCCUCGGCCCCCUGGGAUGCCACCGCCGCAGCCCUGACCCUGACCAUCCAACACCGACGCUCCCUACUGGCUCUGCCUGAUAAGUUCCUGGGUACUGUGAGCUUCAGGCUGGAGGAUGUUGUCGAGAAGCAGGAUGGGAACUAAGGUGGUUUGUCCUCAAUUCUGUGCCGAGCAAGAAGCCAAAGAAGCGUGAGGACGUGGAAGUGUCUUUCAGGCUGUACAGAGAUCCUAGCAGCCUUCCAUCCCACGGCCAACCUCUCACCCAGACCCAGACCCACUCCCAACCCUGUACCCUUCUCUCCUACUCCACAAGCCUCUCCGAAACCUCCAACCUUCCCUCCCACUCCCAAUCCCUCACCAAGCCUCACUCCCAAUCCCUCACCAAGCCUCCUCCAUCUGCAUGAAGAGCCACAUCAGCUGGGAGAGUGACACACACCUCACCACCUUCUGUUCAGCCGGUGGUAAAGCAUCGGGAGCCAAUCCAUCCAUCUUGUGGAGAGGAGAAUUCUGGAGUGCUGGACUCAAUUCCACCACCAUCUGCACCAGCAAGCCCUCAGGAGUCAGCAGACAGCCCAGACUGCGUCACUACUGCUGAUUUUAGCAAUACCAUCAGACCAGUAUCAUAUUCCCCUGCAUCCAUCGUCACUUGUGAGACUGGAGACCUGGAGGAUGGUCCUGCAUCCUAAAUCAUCUGUGAGACAAGGGACUUGGAGGAUGGUCUUGCAUCCAUAAUCAUCUGUGAGACAAGAGACCUGGAGGAUGGCCAGGAGGCCAGGGAAUGUCUGUUGGACCCAGGAGGAGGACACAGUUCCCGUCAGGAUCCCCUGGGGGAGACGUAUUCAUCAGGGAACAUCAUCGGGACUCAGACUUCCAGUAGCUUCCAAAUGUUCCUAUUCCAACAUUCCCGAUCCCAAGGGAGGGUGAGGAGGGUCUCUUUCAGGUCCUCCUUGCGUGCCAGACUGAGGCGUCUCCGCUACAGGUUGGACUCAGGAGAGGCCAGCGGGGAGAGGCGGACUCUGAGACUCCCGGUCUGCUCCAGGGUGUUCUUCUGGUCAACCUCCCCACCUUACGACUGGUUCCCCAGGAUAGAUGUGUCAGAGAGGCCACAGGGUUUCUUGGCACGACUCUUCCCCUGUCUAGGUAGAAGAGAAUGACAAUUAAAAAAUACAAGCCUGACUGCACAGAAUGUAUCCUGCUACUUAUAAUACAACAUUUCAGAUGUACGGUGUCUGUAUUAGGACAGUUACACAUCCAUAAACGUUCAAGAACUUUCUUUCUCUAUUCUACUUAACUUCCGUUAUUUUUCUUGUUGUAAUUCACAGUUUGCUUGCAGCGUUUGUUAUACAGAACACUUGUUUGGUUUUGGAAAAGGGGGGGUGAUACAGAAAAAAGCGACAAUGUCUCCACACCUGAGGUGGCGAAGCUCUCACCUCCAGAGCGGCACCAAGUGUGAUGGAGGGAGAGACAAAAGACGUGUAAUAAGACUGGUAUCAGCUCUGAAGCCAAUAGAAGGAGAGUUUCAGAAAAAGUUUAAAA